ensembl:snRNA U6 U6 spliceosomal RNA
UGCUUGCUUCGGCAGACGAUAUACUAAAAAUGGAACGAUACAGAGAAGAUUAGCAUGGUCCCUGCACAAGGGUGACACGCAAAUUUGUGAAUCAAAAACUCAAUCA